CUUGGUCAAUUUAGAGGAAGUAAAAGUCGUAACAAGGUCUCCGUUGGUGAACCAGCGGAGGGAUCAUUACCGAGUACUAUAACUCAUAACCCUUUGUGAACCUUUAUACCUGUUGCUUCGGCGGCGCGCCUCCCGGGGCGUGCCCGCCGGCAUUAUCAGAAUCUCUGUUCGAACCCGACGAUACAUCUGAGUGUUCUAAGCGAACUGUUAAAACUUUCAACAACGGAUCUCUUGGCUCCAGCAUCGAUGAAGAACGCAGCGAAACGCGAUAUGUAAUGUGAAUUGCAGAAUUCAGUGAAUCAUCGAAUCUUUGAACGCACAUGGCGCCUUCCAGUAUCCUGGGAGGCAUGCCUGUCCGAGCGUCGUUUCAACCCUCGAGCCCCCGUGGCCCGGCGUUGGGGAUCUGCCCAGGCAGUCCCCGAAAACCAGUGGCGGACCCGUUGGGCCCUUCCUUUGCGUAGUAACAUCUGCCUCGCAUCGGGAGCCUGCGGGCUAUCCGGCCUCUAAACCCCCCUCAAGCCCGCUCCGGCGGCACCAAGGUUGACCUCGGAUCAGGUAGGAAUACCCGCUGAACUUAAGCAUAUCAAA
rnacentral:rRNA from 1 species